rnacentral:lncRNA from 1 species
CCUCAUCUGACCACACAGUUCCCCUGGAGGUGGGCUUCUGGCAUCACAAUCCUAAGAGUGAGGGGUGGAGAGGGGAUGCAGCAAGCCUGAGCCCACACAGCUGGUGCAUGGAGCCGGCACCCAUAUGGCCAGGGGCUCCAGCCCCAUCGCAGGACUGGGGCCAGCCACAGAAUGGCUUGUGCCCAUGAGGUGCUUUUCAGGAAGACAGGGUCACCGGCUGACUGCAUCAAGUCCUGUGAAUGUUCACACUCAUAUAACUACCCCAUGACAUCUGAAGCAACUCCAUCACAUCUCCAGACCAGAUCCUUCAGCCAUGACCUCAGUGUCCGUGCGGAGAGUGGGCAGCUGUGUCCUCGUCUGCAGUGUCGGGCAGCUCCGUGUCACCCUUGUGGCCCAUAGCCCCCACUGUUUGGACCUGGCCCCUGGGUGCGUGAUGAAGACCCUCCUUCACCAAACUAUAGCUGGGCUCCUCCACGUCCUUUCUCAACCUGGCCCGUGCUGGGGCCAUGUCCUCAAGAGCCAGAGCCCUGCUAAGGCAAAUUCCCCAUCCUCCCGGCCCCCAGGUGAUGUCUGACCUGCACCUGUCUCCAGCCGGGAGCCUGGCAGGUGUCUUCCCACCCCCCCGGCCCCCUGUAUUUGCCCUCAGUACCUGCCCACCGCAGACCCACCCGCUGCAAGGACCCGAACCAGCAACAGCCCAGCCAAUGAGAGACUGCCUCAGCUCAGCCAAUGAGAAACCACUAUGCUUUGAACGCCCAGUUUCAUCCAAUGGACUCUCUUUUUACAACAGCCCCCCCUCCAUAAAAGAGCCUCCUCUGCUUUGUUCUGCAGAUUCACCUGUGGUUUGUUCCUGUCUUCUUUGUCCUGGGUUGCAGUUCUCUGCUACUCCCAAAUAAACCCAUUUUUUGCUGGUAGAAUGACUGGUACUUUUAUUUUUUUUAAGGUUAUCAGUAGCAGAUUUUUUUCCAUGAAAUGAUGUGUCACUCUUCUGUUACAAAAUAUAUGUCUUCUUGGACACAAUAACUUCCUUCUAGGAAGCACUUGCUCAUCACCAACGUGUGCCAGGCCCUCUGUGCAUGGCCCCCCAGGGAGGAAGGGAUGGUGCGGUUUGCUGUGGGGUGUGGGUGAAACCAGGCUCCUCUCCCCAGGGGAGCAGGAAGGACAGGAGAGCCACACCUUCUCAGUAGCUGUUUUUAUCGUGUGGAUGCAGAGCGUCAUGGAACUGACUGGUUCCUCUCCCUGUUGGGGCCCAGGUGGGGCAGCCGUGGGCUGGUGUCCCACCCAGGGCAGGGGUCAGGGGUGGUGCCUCAGCUCUAAGUUCCUUCCAUUCUUCUCUCCCUAGUGUCCGUUCACCCUAGUUUCUUACUCAAUGUUUUCAAAUCUUUCUCUACUAAGGUUUUCCCUGAAAGAUACCCCAAGUACUCUCCAGAAUGAGUUAGGGCCCCAGGAAUGGUGUUAAAGCAAAUCAAACACAGGCCCCUGCCUGGACUGUCUGGCCUCAUCCUCGACCUGUCCUUCCUGGUCCUUGAAACCCCAGAUUUGCUCUGAGGAUCUCACAGCAUUCAAAGCUCACCGUCUUGUGUGGGGCUCAGGGAAACUCAUCAGCAAUCUCAUGCGACCAGACCUGUGACCAGGCAGCC